CAGCCCUGAACCUCAGGCAGCCUGUAUCAGCUGCUGGUGAUGGGUGACCUGGGCAUGGGGAAGACCACCAUCAUCAAACAGUGAGUGCACCAGAACUCCUCCUGGCUGGCACCCUGAAGCCACCACUGUGUGAACUGUGCAUUCAAGGUGCUACACUGGGACCCAGAGGCCUUGGCACACCUACAGCUGUGGAACAUUGCAAUGAGGAAAGAUUGGGAAAAUGACAAGAGCCUGUUAUCUGGAACUUACAGGCGCAUUUAUUGUCUCCAGUAUCACCAGGCCAGCCCCAUUUGAAGCAGAGCUAAAGUGGAAAAAUGAUUUGGACUAAACGUUAACACAUGGCAGACCAAUUUCUAUGGUUCUGUUGGCCAAGAAAUGUGACCAUGGGAGGAUGAACGCAGGAACAAUAGCCUCAAGAUGGGCCAGAUCUACAUGGAACAUAGUUUUGCAGUAGGAAAAUAUAAACUUUGGUGAAACCUUCAGAUGCCUGAUAAAAUAUUAUAUGAAAAUGUACUCUUGAAGUUUUGAUUUAUGGAGGUGACUGAGUGUCAACACAGAUG
rnacentral:lncRNA from 10 species